AGUUGUUGUGAUUGAUAUUUUCAAUUUCCUUUUCUUUCUUUUCAACCUCCUAAUUAAUUAAUUUGCUUAUAAAUAUUUAAAUACUAAUUUCUUGAUCGAGAGAAAUCAAAAGUAUAUAUUUCUCACCAGUUCUUCUUCUUCUAAACCCUAAAACCAAAACUAAGUCAAUCUCCUUUGUUCAUUCUAUGAUUCAUCUUCCAUGAAAAAGUUUCUACCUUUAGCUUUCCUCUCGAUCGAUUUGUUGUUGUGACUUGUGAGACACGGUUUCUAUGAUCUAGGGUGAGAUAUGAAGCAGAGCGAUCAAACGGUGCUGAGGCUUGAGAACUUGUGGCGGUCGAGGGUUUUUGGUUCUUCUUCUUCUUAGUCGUCUCUCUCUCUCUUUUGGUUCUUCUUCAUGGUGGUGCUCUUGCCUCUUGCUUCCUCUUUCCCUUUCAAGGUACACUGCUAUGUUUCUUUUGAAUUCAUCGUAGCUGAAAAAGCUUGUACCUUUAUAGCUUUCCUCUCAUCGAUUUGUAGUUGUGACGUGUGUGAUACGGUCCGAUGAUCUAGGGUUAGAUAUGAAGCAGAGCGAUCAAACGUGGCAGUCGAAGCUUUUGGUUCCUCUUGGGAUCUUACUACCUCUCCUUCGUCUUCAUGGUGGUGCUCUUGCUUCCACUUUCUCCUUCAAGGUACACUGCUCUGUUUCUUUGGAUCUCUCUCUCUUCUUGUUCCUCUCUGACUUUGGAAUUUAUAUCUGUCUCGAUAUGGUCUUGUUGAUGUUGAUCUCUUGUGUCUUAGGUUUACUAUAUCAAUCAUCUUAAAAGAUUUGGUAUCCAUCUCCUUUUGGAACUACAAGAUUUGGUAUACUGCUUAACUGGUUUGAUUUGCGUUGUUUUAUUAAACUUAUUACUGAAUCUCAUGUUGGAUUGUGGUUGCUUCCCGACCACAUUGAAUCACUUGUCUGCAACAACUUACAGAACUCAAUCUCAUAGUCGUUAUAGCCUUAUAGGUGUCUAUGCCAUAUACGAUUGAUGCAAGCUUGUCUACUUUUUAAUUCAUCCAUCAUGAUUCACCAUAUUGUUAUUAAUCAUCUCUUUUGUUUUGUAAUGAGUGUUCAUGAUUCUCUGUUUCCUUUGUAUCUCCCUUUUUUAUAUGAUUUUGUGUAAUCCGUAUGCAGUGUUAGAAUUCCUUUUUUGCUAAUAACUACUACAAAUCCAUUGAUAUGCAGACAAGGUUUCUGACCCUUGAUAUGACUUAUGUUUGUUCUUGGUUUGAUAUUAUGUUAUACUUCUCUGUUGUUGUUUUUCUCUUGGUUUUUGAUUUUGGUUCUACUGUCUUUGCAGGUCAUUGUGAUGUUCUCUAUUAUUAUGAAGAUUUGAUCAAGAGGACUUCCUCACAGUUAUCAAAAAGAAGAAGGAUCAUGUAGCAUCAGACCAUAACUACAUUUAUAACUGAGGUAUAUGCUGCUUUACUCAUUCGAUUUGUGAGUUUCAUUGCAUUGGUUUAUUAGAUUACUAUACCGAGUUUAUGUUGCUUUCUGACCACGUAGAAUUACGUGUCUGCAACAUACAGAAAUGAAUCUCAUAGUCAUGUAUGCAUAUACGUUUGGAAUGAUGCAAUGCAAGCCAUUUUUCUCUACUUUUUAGUUCAUCAAUCAUGUUGACCUUAUGAUUCCUAUCUCUGUCUCCUUUGUAUGUUUAUAUGAUUUUGUGUAUUCAUUGUUAGAUAAUCAAGAUUUUUC
rnacentral:lncRNA from 1 species